rnacentral:lncRNA from 1 species
AACUCUACUGAGAAGAAGGGUAAACUCACCCCUAGCAGGCUCUGUGCUGUUAAGGUGCAGUGCUCUCAGCACCAGAGGGAUACAUACAAUGUAUUUUGCUCUGUAGUUUAACACUUAGAAUAAAAUUCAGUUGGACCAUGCAGAUAUCAGAAAAUAUAUGGACUGCCUGGACUCAUGGGAACUCUUGAUCAAAGGUUCAGGAUAGUUGUACCUUUGUGAAAAUAAGGAACAUUCAUCCUCAUGGGAGGUAUCUACUACUACUUUCAAAAGGUUGAAUAACAAUUUCAUGUCUUUAUCUUAAAAAGAGGAAGACAUAAUAAAUGGCAACUAGUAACUUAGGUCCUAGGGGAUGAAAACAAAAAACAGGAAAUACAACAAAAAUUAUGGAAUAAUUUUGAAUAUAUAUGCUUUAGGAUUAUUUCUAUUAUCUGAAGGAUUGUAGUUUUUUUUUUUUUUUUUUUUUUUUUUUGCCAUCACUAAAAAAUUAUUACAUAUAAAUCUAGACUUUUUUUUUUUCUUUCUCCCCUCCACUGCAAUUCUUGUCAGCCUACAUUUUAUAUGAAUAACACACAAGCUUAAUGAUAUACCCUCUAGUAAAAUGCACACACAAAGCUUUCCAGCAUGAGAUGAGCUUAUUAAUUCUGAAUCCAAGCAGUGAUUCUAUCCAAUAGGCUUCAUUAAGCUCUGUGACAGCUUUAGGAAAGAAAAAAACAAACAAACAAACAAACAAAAAAAAAAAAACAAACAAAAAAAACUUUCCAUUUGUUAUAAUACAGAAUGUUCCAGAUGCAAAAUUGGUAAGAAGGUUAAGGGAGAAGAUCCAGUGAGUGGGAAUGUUCUGGAUAUCAGGCACGUCAUUCAAACAGAACAAUGCCGUGGUCGCUUCAGUUAACUUGUGGCUUGGGUGUGGCUCACUGCUGCUUUUGCAUCCUUUUCCAUUCCUUUCCCAGUGGAGGACUGCCUUUGAAAGCAGCUUUGUGGAAACCAUCUGUGGAUCCCUGGAGAUGAAAUUACCCUAUCAUGUGAAAGUGCUUGGCACUCACAAUCCAUCUCAGCUACUAUUACUGUACCCAUUUUACAGGCUGGAAAACCCAAAGCUCAGAGCAGCAAACCACCAUGUUCACAUUUACUCCCAAAUGAGCAGAACAGAAAAGAGAUCCUUGUCUCUUCUUUGCCUGCUGUCUCCUAACUUCUACCACAGUACAUAUAAUUUCAAAC